AUUGAACGCUGGCGGCAUGCCUUACACAUGCAAGUCGAACGGUAACAGGUCUUCGGAUGCUGACGAGUGGCGAACGGGUGAGUAAUACAUCGGAACGUGCCCGAGAGUGGGGGAUAACGAGGCGAAAGCUUUGCUAAUACCGCAUACGAUCUCAGGAUGAAAGCAGGGGACCGCAAGGCCUUGCGCUCACGGAGCGGCCGAUGGCAGAUUAGGUAGUUGGUGGGAUAAAAGCUUACCAAGACGACGAUCUGUAGCUGGUCUGAGAGGACGACCAGCCACACCGGGACUGAGACACGGCCCAGACUCCUACGGGAGGCAGCAGUGGGGAAUUUUGGACAAUGGGCGCAAGCCUGAUCCAGCCAUGCCGCGUGCAGGAUGAAGGCCUUCGGGUUGUAAACUGCUUUUGUACGGAACGAAAAGACUCUGGUUAAUACCUGGGGUCCAUGACGGUACCGUAAGAAUAAGCACCGGCUAACUACGUGCCAGCCGCCGCCGUAAAAC
rnacentral:rRNA from 1 species